UCGAGAAUUUUUCUCAAUGGGCGAAAGCCUGAAGGAGCGACGCCGCGUGGGGGAUGAAGGGCUUCGGCCUGUAAACCCCUGUCAUUUGCGAGCAAACCCUCUCAUUAAAUAGAUGAGAGGCUGAUAGUAGCGAAAGAGGAAGGGACGGCUAACUCUGUGCCAGCAGCCGCGGUAAUACAGAGGUCCCAAGCGUUGUUCGGAUUUACUGGGCGUAAAGGGUGCGUAGGUGGUCGUAAAAGUCUGAUGUGAAAUCUCCGAGCUUAACUCGGAAAUGGCAUUGGAUACUAUUCGGCUGGAGGGUUGGAGGGGAGACUGGAAUUCUCGGUGUAGCAGUGAAAUGCGUAGAUAUCGAGAGGAACACCAGUGGCGAAGGCGAGUCUCUGGACAACUCCUGACACUGAGGCACGAAAGCUAGGGGAGCAAACAGG
rnacentral:rRNA from 1 species